UACGUAGGGUCCAAGCGUUAUCCGGAAUCACUGGGCGUAAAGGGCGCGUAGGCGGCUCUGUGCGUCACCCGUGAAAGCCCCCGGCUCAACCGGGGAGGGUCGGGUGAAACGGCGGAGCUGGAGGCAGCGAGAGGCUGGUGGAAUUCCCGGAGUAGUGGUGAAAUGCGUAGAGAUCGGGAGGAACACCGGUGGCGAAGGCGGCCAGCUGGCGCUGACCUGACGCUGAGGCGCGAAGGCGUGGGGAGCGAACGGG
rnacentral:rRNA from 1 species